UACAUGGGGUGCAAACGUUGCUCGGAAUUAUUGGGCGUAAAGCGCACGUAGGCGGUCCGUUAAGUCGGAUGUGAAAGCCCCCGGCUCAACCGGGGAAGUGCAUCCGAAACUGGCAGGCUAGAGUACUAAAGAGGGUCGCGGAAUUCCCGGUGUAGAGGUGAAAUUCGUAGAUAUCGGGAGGAACACCGGUGGCGAAGGCGGCGACCUGGGUAGAUACUGACGCUGAGGCGCGAAAGCGUGGGGAGCAAACGGG
rnacentral:rRNA from 1 species